GACAGAGGAUGCAAGCGUUGUCCGGAAUUAUUGGGCGUAAAGAGCUCGUAGGUGGCCUGUCGCGUCGGCUGUGAAAACUCGGGGCUCAACUCCGAGCUUGCAGUCGAUACGGGCAGGCUAGAGUUCGGCAGGGGAGACUGGAAUUCCUGGUGUAGCGGUGAAAUGCGCAGAUAUCAGGAGGAACACCGGUGGCGAAGGCGGGUCUCUGGGCCGAUACUGACACUGAGGAGCGAAAGCGUGGGGAGCGAACAGG
rnacentral:rRNA from 1 species